UACGAAGGGGGCUAGCGUUGCUCGGAAUCACUGGGCGUAAAGCGCACGUAGGCGGAUCUUUAAGUCAGGGGUGAAAUCCUGGAGCUCAACUCCAGAACUGCCUUCGAUACUGCGGGUCUCGAGUCCGGGAGAGGUGAGUGGAAUUCCUAGUGUAGAGGUGAAAUUCGUAGAUAUUAGGAAGAACACCAGUGGCGAAGGCGGCUCACUGGCCCGGUACUGACGCUGAGGCGCGAAAGCUAGGGUAGCAAACGGG
rnacentral:rRNA from 1 species